rnacentral:rRNA from 1 species
ACAUACGCUCUUCCCUCUUUUUCCUUUUUCUUCCCUGUCCCUUAACCUUCAGAUGAAGAGAUCUGAAUAAAAAAGAAAGACAAAAAGACCCUAUUGAGCUUUACUUUACCAAGAUUUACCAAAAGAGAAUCUAUAACCAAAAAUCUUGAGAGAGUUUUGUUGGGGCGACAGAAGAAGACCUAAAUCUUCUUUAUCUCCAAAAGGUCAUCACCCUUAUAAAGAUCCGGUCUCCCGAUUAAAAGAUCUAGCUACCAUAGGGGUAACAGGCUAAUUC